rnacentral:rRNA from 1 species
UCAGAUUGAACGCUGGCGGCAGGCCUAACACAUGCAAGUCGAGCGGUAACAUUUCUAAGCUUGCUUAGAAGAUGACGAGCGGCGGACGGGUGAGUAAUGCUUGGGGAUCUGCCUGAUGGCGGGGGACAACCACUGGAAACGGUGGCUAAUACCGCAUAAUACCUAUGGGUCAAAGUGUGGGACCUUCGGGCCACACGCCAUCAGAUGAACCCAAGUGAGAUUAGCUGGUUGGUAAGGUAACGGCUUACCAAGGCGACGAUCUCUAGCUGGUCUGAGAGGAUGAUCAGCCACACUGGGACUGAGACACGGCCCAGACUCCUACGGGAGGCAGCAGUGGGGAAUAUUGGACAAUGGGGGCAACCCUGAUCCAGCCAUGCCGCGUGUGUGAAGAAGGCCUUCGGGUUGUAAAGCACUUUCAGUGGUGAGGAAGGUGGUGUCGUUAAUAGCGGCAUCAAUUGACGUUAGCCACAGAAGAAGCACCGGCUAACUCCGUGCCAGCAGCCGCGGUAAUACGGAGGGUGCGAGCGUUAAUCGGAAUUACUGGGCGUAAAGCGCACGUAGGCGGUAUGUUAAGCAAGAUGUGAAAGCCCAGAGCUCAACUCUGGAAUAGCAUUUUGAACUGGCAUGCUAGAGUUUUGGAGAGGGUGGUAGAAUUUCCAGUGUAGCGGUGA